rnacentral:rRNA from 1 species
AACGAACGCUGGCGGCAGGCUUAACACAUGCAAGUCGAACGCAUCCUUCGGGGUGAGUGGCAGACGGGUGAGUAACGCGUGGGAACGUGCCCUUCAGUUCGGGAUAACCCAGGGAAACUUGGGCUAAUACCGGAUACGUGCGAGAGCAGAAAGAUUUAUCGCGGAAGGAUCGGCCCGCGUCUGAUUAGCUAGUUGGUGGGGUAAUGGCCCACCAAGGCGACGAUCAGUAGCUGGUCUGAGAGGAUGAUCAGCCACAUUGGGACUGAGACACGGCCCAAACUCCUACGGGAGGCAGCAGUGGGGAAUAUUGGACAAUGGGCGCAAGCCUGAUCCAGCCAUGCCGCGUGAGUGAUGAAGGCCUUAGGGUUGUAAAGCUCUUUCGUCCGGGACGAUAAUGACGGUACCGGAAGAAGAAGCCCCGGCUAACUUCGUGCCAGCAGCCGCUGUAA